ACUUCCUGCGAAGUUUUGACUGAGACGCUGCAACAAUUCCCGAGCUGUUUCAUCGUGGCACCUUCCUGGUGGCAGGUGGAUUAGCACAUUGUCUGCAACCCAGGAGGACUUGGAGGAAAGUCCCAGCUCUGCUGAUUCUAGCUGAGUAACCUUGGCAAAGGUCACCUCACUUCUCUCUGAGUCUUAUUUUCUCAUCUGUAAAAUGAGGAGGAGGAGGAGGAUCAUCCAAACAUCACGGGACUUCGUUAAAUCAGUGCUUCGGGGCACUUAGCACAGCGCCUGGCGCAAGAACUACCGGUCGCCCAGCUCUGUGUAUGUGGAGAGACGGCAGGAAGGACCAGAGAGUGAGGAUGUGAGGAACUCUAGCCGUCCUGAAUCUACCACUGUUCAGUAAUUUACAGUUCAAACCGGAUUGUGCCAGCUCACAUAUAUGGGACACUUACCCAACAUGCUAAGCAUCUUCCACACGUUAUCUAAUCAACCCUUACAACUCUAAGAGACAGAUACCAGUAGGAUCUCCAUCCUACAGCUAAAGAAACUGAGGCACAGAGGUGUUCAGAAACUUACCCAGGCCACAGAGGUAGGAUGUGCUGGUGGAACAAGGUUCAAACCCAGGAGCUCUGACUCUGGACACCUUGCUCUUGGACUCUUGUUAUUUCACAGUAGCCAGCACCCUAGACCAGAAGGGACCCCACCCUUUGGCUCAGCUCUCCCUCUCUAGCUGCCCUUUAUCUGCCCUCUCCCAAGCCCCUGAGCACUCCUGCUCCCAUUCCCAAGCAGCGGCUCUUUGCAAGGAAAGGGAUGAAAAAGGACUCAGCCUCAGUGGGGACAGUGUCAUAGUCAGGAUUUAAUUCCCCCAUUUAAAGGUCCACCCUUGCCCUGAGCUUCACACUAAGCCCUGUGAUGGGAGCCAGUGGGCCAAGGAAGGGGCACCCGGGUCCCAGGAGCCUUCUGUGGGGAGCUCUAGGCUGAGAGAGGUAACUUUCUGCAGCAGGAGCUGCAAAUGUGCAGACUGCGCAGAGAGCCCAGGGGUGGGAGAGGCCCCGGGAAUAAGAGGCGAGCGUGGGCUGGGUGUGCGGGGAAGGUGUAAACACAAUCUGCUCCCACCAAAGCCAGCCUGCUCCCUGGGGGAGACAGCCCCCCCACCCGGCCCACAUGGCACCCCAGCUGCCCAGGCAACCUCCAAGCCCAGGCAGCCACAGCCCCGCUGGCCGCCAGCAGCCCCUUCCUCUCUUUUUCCCGCCCUUCCUCUGGAUGGAUCCCUGGAGCAGCCACCACCUCCUGCGCAGGUUCUCGGAACAGUGGCGUGGAGGGGCGCUGCCCUGGGGAAGUGCGUCUGGGCCGUGAGCCAGCUCCAUGACCUUGGCCUGACAAUUCCUCAGACCAGUGGAAGGAGAUGAGCAACUCGGAAAUGGCAGCAAGGAUGAGGUGACAGGAACAUGGCAAAUAGAGAAUAAAUGCAGAUAGGAUCGGGGAACACAGACUGGGUCCCGGGAACAGUGCCCUCUGGCCCUCAGCCUGACAGGCCUGUCACCAGGAAGGCCGAUGCCUCCAAAGAGAGAGACAGGCUGACAGGAGCUGAGACAGGCGAUCACGGGCUCACGGCCUGGGUCAGGCUGGCGCUCUGGCUUUGCCUCUGCAGGCUCCUUCCCUAGUGUGACUUUCCCCCUGCCUCCUGCCUGCCCUACUUUGAGAGGCUCCCACAGAACUGCCUUCGCACACACCCCAGCCAGGCUCCCCGAGGUACCAGCAGGCCCUCCCCAGCGGGGUGCACCUCCUCCCCCACCCUGAGCGCCUCCCCAGCGGUUCCCUCUGCUCUGCGGCAUCCCUCACCCUUUCCCUUCCUUCCCUUCAGAGGCAGAGUGGCGGCUGAAGUGCUGCUGUCUAGAGAACUCCAUCUUCUACUGCCUGGAAGUCAAGGGCACGGGCCAGCCAGGCAGAGACAUCGCCGCUGGGCUGGGAGGGGGGCUGGCUGGGGAGGAGAGACGCGUGUGCACAGAGGCACGGGGGGUUUUUGAAGACUAAUAGCUGUGAGACAUCAGGAGCAGCUGCCUGCAGGGUCUGCUCCUGGAUCUGGGAGCAGAAGCGGAAAUCUGCUUUUAUCUCUGCUCAGGAUCAUGCAGGAUUGAAAAGAGAGAAAUGGCAGAGCAGCUGGGGGCAAAGGAGGCAGCCGCCGGGACUGAGCAUCAGCAAAUUGAUAAAAACAAGUGUCAGGCUUUUUCCUUCCCACACGCUACUGCCCGUUUGGAACACACGCGCUUGCACACAUACAGAAAACACAUUCGGAGGACAAGCUGUCCGUUGCUCCCAUCCAGCUGCAGGCAGACAUGUCACAGAUCCAACUGGCAUUUCUUAUUGAUAAUUUCAGCAGAGCAGCCAGUGACAGGAUGAGCUCUGGGAACUGGGGAAAGGCAAAUGACACAAAAGCGAGUGCCACUGUGGCAAACCGACACCAGCACCUCGGACCACAAGUGGCGGCUUAACAGAAUAGCUCCUGGGCUGACAGGCAGUUGGCCAGGCCAGCAAACCACCCCCAACCCCUGCAAACUGUUAGGUUCCAGGGGGAGGCCGCCUGCCAUGGUGGGUAGGAGCGUGGGCUCUGCAGCUCCAGUGUGAGCCUGGGAGCCUCCACUUCCUAGCUAGGUGAUGUUGGGCAAAUUAUUUAACCUGUCUCUGUGUUUCCCCAUUUAGAAAUUGUGGAUAAUAACAUUACCAGGCUCUGUGGGUGACUGAAGAUUAAAUUACAGAAUGAAUGGA
rnacentral:lncRNA from 1 species